rnacentral:rRNA from 1 species
GACGAACGCUGGCGGCGUGCCUAAUACAUGCAAGUAGAACGCUGAAGGAGGAGCUUGCUUCUCCGGAUGAGUUGCGAACGGGUGAGUAACGCGUAGGUAACCUGCCUGGUAGCGGGGGAUAACUAUUGGAAACGAUAGCUAAUACCGCAUAACAGUGGAUGUUGCAUGACAUUUGCUUAAAAGGUGCAAUUGCAUCACUACCAGAUGGACCUGCGUUGUAUUAGCUAGUUGGUGAGGUAACGGCUCACCAAGGCGACGAUACAUAGCCGACCUGAGAGGGUGAUCGGCCACACUGGGACUGAGACACGGCCCAGACUCCUACGGGAGGCAGCAGUAGGGAAUCUUCGGCAAUGGACGGAAGUCUGACCGAGCAACGCCGCGUGAGUGAAGAAGGUUUUCGGAUCGUAAAGCUCUGUUGUAAGAGAAGAACGAGUGUGAGAGUGGAAAGUUCACACUGUGACGGUAUCUUACCAGAAAGGGACGGCUAACUACGUG